rnacentral:rRNA from 1 species
CCUACGGGAGGCAGCAGUGGGGAAUAUUGCACAAUGGGGGACACCCUGAUGCAGCGACGCCGCGUGAGUGAGGAAGUAUUUCGGUAUGUAAAGCUCUAUCAGCCGGGAAGAAAAUGACGGUACCUGACUAAGAAGCCGCGGCUAACUACGUGCCAGCAGCCGCGGGAAUACGUAGGGGGCAAGCGUAAUCCGGAUUGCAUGGGGGUAAAGGGAGCGUAGACGGGUAAGCAAGUCAGAAGUGAAGACCCAGGGCGCAACUUUUGGACUGCUUUUGAAGCUGCGUAGCUAGAGUGCAGGAGAGGUAAGCGGAAUUCAUAGUGUAGCGGUGAAAUGCGUAGAUAUUA